UACGGGGGGGGCAAGCGUUGUUCGGAAUUACUGGGCGUAAAGGGCGCGUAGGCGGCCUUCUAAGUCGGACGUGAAAUCCCUCGGCUUAACCGAGGAACUGCGUCCGAUACUGGAAGGCUUGAAUCCGGGAGAGGGAUGUGGAAUUCCAGGUGUAGCGGUGAAAUGCGUAGAUAUCGGGAGGAACACCAGUGGCGAAGGCGGUUACCUGGAGCUUUGCUGACGCUGAUGCGCGAAAGCGUGGGGAGCGAUCCGG
rnacentral:rRNA from 1 species